rnacentral:rRNA from 1 species
AACGAACGCUGGCGGUAGGCCUAACACAUGCAAGUCGAGCGAGGACUUCGGUCCUAGUGGCGGACGGGUGAGUAACGCGUGGGAACGUGCCCUUUGCUACGGAAUAGCCCCGGGAAACUGGGAGUAAUACCGUAUGUGCUCGAGAGAGGAAAGAUUUAUCGGCAAAGGAUCGGCCCGCGUUGGAUUAGGUAGUUGGUGGGGUAAUGGCCUACCAAGCCGACGAUCCAUAGCUGGUUUGAGAGGAUGAUCAGCCACACUGGGACUGAGACACGGCCCAGACUCCUACGGGAGGCAGCAGUGGGGAAUAUUGGACAAUGGGCGCAAGCCUGAUCCAGCCAUGCCGCGUGAGUGAUGAAGGCCUUCGGGUUGUAAAGCUCUUUCGCACACGACGAUGAUGACGGUAGUGUGAGAAGAAGCCCCGGCUAACUUCGUGCCAGCCGCCGCAGUAAUAC